ACUGGAGGCAUUGUUUGAACUCUCAAAGUGUCUCCCCCACCAGUACAGCGUCAGGAGCUGGCGGGGGAGACACUUUGAGAGUUCAAACAAUGCCUCC
rnacentral:miRNA from 1 species